GACGAACGCUGGCGGCGGGCCUAACACAUGCAAGUCGAGCGGCAGCGGAAAGUAGCUUGCUACUUUGCCGGCGAGCGGCGGACGGGUGAGUAAUGUCUGGGAAACUGCCUGAUGGAGGGGGAUAACUACUGGAAACGGUAGCUAAUACCGCAUAACGUCGCAAGACCAAAGUGGGGGACCUUCGGGCCUCAUGCCAUCAGAUGUGCCCAGAUGGGAUUAGCUAGUAGGUGGGGUAACGGCUCACCUAGGCGACGAUCCCUAGCUGGUCUGAGAGGAUGACCAGCCACACUGGAACUGAGACACGGUCCAGACUCCUACGGGAGGCAGCAGUGGGGAAUAUUGCACAAUGGGCGCAAGCCUGAUGCAGCCAUGCCGCGUGUGUGAGGAAGGCCUUCGGGUUGUAAAGCACUUUCAGCGGGGAGGAAGGCGUUAAGGUUAAUAACCUUGGCAAUUGACGUUACCCGCAGAAGAAGCACCGGCUAACUCCGUGCCAGCCGCCGCCGUAA
rnacentral:rRNA from 1 species